CAACUUUUAACAACGGAUCUCUUGGUUCUCGCAUCGAUGAAGAACGUAGCAAAGUGCGAUAACUAGUGUGAAUUGCAUAUUCAGUGAAUCAUCGAGUCUUU
rnacentral:rRNA from 1 species